UAGCGACCCGCCCCAGCUUCGCAUGGGUGCAAUAGUGAUAAAUUAUGCACGUAUUAUUCAUAUAAACCUACCUCUUGAAUCACUCUAUCUAUUAAAAAAACCGCAACAAAAUCCGUUGCGUAGUUUUAAAGAUUUAAGCAUACAAAGGGACAUAGGGACAGAGAAAGCGACUUUGUUUUAUACUAUGUAGUGAUAGAUCCACAGGAGUUUUGGGACCAAGCGGGCCAUUAAAAAAUAUGUUAUAUGAAUAAUGAAAUUUACGAGGAAAGCAUGUUGGAAAAUACAUUUACUUCAAAUCGUAGAAAAACAACAGGUACAAUUAUAUGUUAGAGGAAAAAUUCUCGAACAAAUAUGUUUGACACAAAUGUCAAUUGCAAUUGGUACAAGUAUGAUGACGUGUGGGGCCAACCAUUGGCGUCAAACAAACACAAGGUUUACGAUAAUUCCUUGUUCGCAUUCCAUCCCGUUAUUCUAAGCAAGAUAAAUAAUGUACUCGUUAUAUAUGUGGUGUUGCUGGUACAGUCAGCGUCGAAAAUUGAUGGCAAAGGUCUCCCUACCUACCCUAACCUACCCUAGAAUUGGGACUAAAAACAGGAUAUUUACCAUGUUUUUCAAUUUUUAUGAGCUUCCGAUAUUUCGGCACUGUUGCAAGCGCCAUGAUCACGGAUAAACUUAAACAGUUUAUCGUCUCUAACCUCUUUCAAUAUCCGGAGCUGCGGACUACCUAGCGGGUUUACCGGGGCCCCGACUCGGAAAGCAGGAGAAGGAACGGGGUGGUUUUUAGUCAGUAAGUCUGACACUCCCUCUCGCCCAAGGCGGGAGAAGUGGAUGUUAUCCCCCCUGAAAAAAACCCUCCUUCCAUUCCUCUCUGUUUAAAGCUUUUUGUGACUAAUCAUCGUUAUUUAGAUUAUCAAAAUCGCUGUACACCGUAUUAUAUCUAAGGGUGUUUUUCCACCAAAGAUGUGCUAUGCUACGUUGCUGUGAACGCGUUUGGCUUCUACCAAUCAAAUUUAUUGGAACACAUAGCUUAGCACUGGGGUAUGGUGGAAACACAAAUGGUGACCAGUGGGUAUACAUUGUAUGGCGGCAUUACAUGUGGACCUCUGUCUACCCCUUUGGGGAUAAAAGGCGUGACGUUGUACAUGUAGGAUUAAUGUUAAAGCGUGAAAAGGAAUGUGCGUCAUGGAGUGAGGGUAGGUGAGAUGGAAAGAGACAAAAGAGAGAUGGCGGUUGUAAAACAAAAGAGCGAAAGACGUAAAGACGUAUAUUUUUCAGUUUAUUAAGUUUCAAAAGACGUAAAGACGUAUACAGCGUGUAACAAAAUACCCAUAUACAUCAAGAAGCGCUGAAGAAUACAGGUUGAAUAGAACCUCUACACGAAGUUUCAGCUUAAAAUACGUUUAAAAAAAAAUUGUACCAAAUACUUGGUAUCGCAUGGUUCUUGAUUUUAAAUCAUACAAAUAUGUCACAACACUACAGGGGUCACUCGCUAAUAUUACGAAACAUAUCUUCUGUCAUUCUGAUUGCCUAGUAUCUGUCUACCUAAUUUUGAAUCACGCGGCGGCGCGAUUUGAAAAAUUCAUAACUUGGUACCAUGAGAAAAUGAGUUUAAAAAACCCUUACCGUAUCUUUUGUUAUGUUAUCUAGAAGCCGUGUACUUGAUAUGUAUACCCCCUUUUUGUUACACGUUGUAUAUUCAGUUUAUUUAAGUUUCUGUAUUUUAUCUAAGUUUGAGUAAUAUAUAAAUAUGUAUUCAAAAUAAGUGAAGUUGAAGUUUUAAUCACGGUGUUGCGAUCCCCAUUCUACAUACAUAUAUGUUGUAUGAGGCUGUGAGUGAUAGUUGUGUCGAUAUGUGGACCCCUAACUAGUUAGUGUUGUCGAGUGUACCUAUGAGAACAGGAUUUACCGAUGUUUUAAAUACUUAGGUAACAAUGGCAUAUAAAUUGAAUGGAUUAGUUUCAACGCUACACAUAAUUUAGCGAUUUAUGCGAGACGCAAGACGUGCUUAAGCGGUCAGAGAGUGAUUUUAUUUUUAUUUUAAAUUGUCGAGAGGAUUUUUCCUUAUAUUUUUAUAUUUACUAUCAUCAUGGCAUUGAUCGUGGACAGAGAUUUCGUUAAAGAAAAUCAAUACUCUGAGGACAUCGAAAUAGAAUCACCAACAUUGAUCCAAGACUGUUAUGAAAAAAGUGGAGACAAACAACCACAGACAGAACAAUCUGAUUAAAAAAAAACAAAUCUUCCUUUAUAUCUAUAUCAAAUAGAAAUGUAUGUACGCCCAGAACUCUCGAAAAACUGCAUCAAAAUUGAUAACUAUUAUUUUCUGUUGUCGUUUUUGUCAGCGAGAUGAAAGCAUUUGAAAUUCACCGGAAAGAUCGGAGAAAAAUACCUGAGCUAAGGCAGGACGUCACAAUUUUGAGACCCGAAAUGUGACGUCACACUAGGGAGGGGGAGGGGACACUAGUAUGACGUCACAUUUUAUAAUUUUACAUCUCUCAAGAUCGUGUUGUCUGAUAAUAGUGAAACUGUUUACUAAUUAUACUAAACUAAUUGAAAUACUAAACUACUUACUAAUUGAAAUGUGACGUCACAAAAUUUAAGACUCCUUCCGCCCCCUUGUCACAUAAAGUCACACUUCGUGAAUCCCCUCCCCCCCUUAACGAGUGACGUAAUUAGUGGAUGGCCCCCUAUUAAGUUUAGUUAAGUUUUUUUUUAUAUACGUUGUAAUAGACUGAGAAAUAUAUUUUCUGACAUUGUAAAGAGAAUAUAAUACUGUUUAUAAAACACCGUCCUCUGCAUUUAUUAUGUACAUUUGUAUAUUUUUAACAAUUACUUUGUAAGUAUUAAAUAUAAGACUUUUUUAAAAUUAUAUAUAUUUU